AUAUUUUAGGUCAGAUUCUUGUACUUCCCAUUUUUAAACAACUGCCAAGCAUUUGUUUUUAUAUCUCCUAGACAUCUGUGCUAUUGGUGAGUACUAUUUCUAGCUAUUGACUGUCCUAAAAUAAAGGUAACAUUUCUGGGUGAUUUAUAGUCUAUCAUUAUUACAGUGCAGCCUCUGAAUGCAUGAACUAGAGAUUUACUGCACGCUUGUGUCUUAUCCCCGACUCGUGUAAUAGAGAAAAGGUAAAAUGUCUUGGCUUCGUGAUGGCUCCCUUCUUCAAGCAGCUGUCUUUUUUGGUGUGGUGCUUGCAGCUUGAUUAAACUACAUCGAGAAGACACCAAAGAGACAUCUCAGCUCUAUAAAGUCAGCUCUGAAAACACAAAGGUUAAAAACUACGAUUUGUGGUUUAAGAUACAAGAAUGUUUUCUCUUCAGAUUGACUGGGAAGACUUUCUCUUCAGACGGACAGAACUUAUAAAAAUGUUACAAGCAUCCAGAUGAAUUAUCUACAGCAAACUUCAACCUCACAGAGGAAGUUACUCGGGUGAGUUAAGAACACUGGUAACUUGUGGUCCCAAGACAAGUUUCUAAGGUCAAAAUGAAUGUGGAAGUUUUAAAAAUUACUCAGGAAUUUACUAACUCACAAACCAAAAACAAAGAAAAAUUAUGAUGACUUAGGGCCAAAUUUUGGUUAAACAACAACAGCAACAACAACAACAACCAUCCACAAAUGCAGAAAACUUGUAAGAACAACAAAAGCUUCCUAAUUACCAAUUUGUUACUCAAUGAGAUAGUUUCUGUGGUGGCUGUUAAACUUCUUAC
rnacentral:lncRNA from 1 species